GCGCUGGGCGGGAGGCAGAGCCAAAACCGUAACAGCCAGAGCUAGAGACUCCGGCCUGGGGUUCUGGCUCUGUCCCGUAUCAGCUAGGAAACCCAGGGCAAGCUACUUAAACUCUCAGAGGCUCAGCUUUUUCAUGAGCAAACAGGAAAACAGGGCUAAUGAUUAGUCCUUGGCUUAAAAUACAUACCGCGUGUGAAAUUGCAGGUAUAUAAUAGAUUCACUAAAUGAGAGCACAAAUAAUGUAUGUUUUCUGAACCAUCUGAGGGCGAGUUAUCAACACUUACUCUCCAAUGCGUCAUCACCCCCAACACUCCUGUGUAUUUCCUGCAAAUAAGGAUCUUCUCCUACAUGGUCAGUCCGAACAACCUUCAGUCACAACUGAGAAGGUCACAUGGUGCAUCACUGCCGCUCAGUCUCCCCAAGCCCAGUGAUUUCUUCACAAUUAGGGAUCUGAGACCCGCAGUAUGGCAGUGACAAGAUCCAAGUCUUGGGACACCUAGCCAGGAGGGAAGAAUUUGAGGGAGAGGUGGAAAAUAUGCGAGGCUGAACUGACCUUCAAGGACAAGAAGGCUGUGUUCAGAUAGACAGAGUUUGUCUUCUGGGAGAGGAGUGGGCUUAUCCAGGAUGAUCCCAAAGGCAGAUUGAGGACCAGUGGGAGGACAUCCUGAGAAAGCAGAUCCAGCUUUAGGCAAGGAAGGACUUCGUAACAGGCAGAGAGCCCAUGUUGGAAACAAGCAGCUCUGCAAGGUGUGGGCCCACUGUCUGACUCCCUGCGGGGCUGCUGCCUUGGAAGAGCCUCCUGCUUAGAGAGGUUCUCCUGCCGCCAGCUGUCUCUCCUGAGUCCUGAGCACCACAUCUCUGGACCGUCUGGAGCCUCCCCUCCCUUGGCUUACUGCUCCCACCACCCUCUCUCUCCACCUUGCAAGAGACACUCUCCCUCAUCCUGGGUCAUCACCCUCUUUAGAGGCGCCGCCUGGCCACGAGGUGGGCAGGAUCUUGGCCUUACUUGAUGCAGUGCACACCUCCAACAGGCAUCAGAUGGAGUGCAGCCGGGAGCAAGAUUCUCAUAGCAAUUACAAAGAUUCACAAGAAAAUGUGCCCUCCACUACACAGCUGUAAUUUACAUGCUUUCAAACUUGAUAUGGAAUGACUGUGGUUUCCCCUGAAAGAAGCAUCACUGAUCUCUGCACAGGAGAAACAAGGGUGUGUUAGGAGUUACAUCCACUAACCUCUGGGGCUAGAAUGUUCCUCCUAAUCCCGGAUUACCAGCUUACAACCCCAAUGCCCACUUUCUCAAACAAGCCUCGUCUUUUUAAAGAAGCCAAAUAUGGUGAUAGAGACUCUCAUCAAGGACACUGAGUAAACCAGAAACCUGCUUGGGCUCACGUUCCUUGUCUCUUCUUCUCAGAUCCAGGAAAGGAGCUGUCCAGGACAAUGAGGAUAGGCUGAGGAAAGACAGGCCACGGCCUUGCCUCUGUGCCAGCUCUCAUGGGCCAGGCAGAGUAUCCCAGGACAACUGCCUCCACAACCAGCUCCAUCCUUCAUCAGCAAUUCAGUACCUGAUUAACAAAUCUGUACCCCAGGAGGUUAUGCCAAGUCCAACUUCUUCCAGAGACCACAACAAUAAAUCCAAGCCACUGCUAAUGUCAUUUAUAAGCUGUGGGAUUAAAACAGAGAAGCAAUCAAUUAAUUAAAAUUAGCUCUUUAUUGAAA
ensembl:lncRNA novel transcript